AUGGUAAAAAUAGAUCUUGCUAAGGCAUUUGAUAGGAUCGAGUGGGGUUUCAUUGUUAAAGCGUUAACUCGUAAAGGGAUGCAUGCUCACUUUAUAAAUUUAAUUUAUGCUUGCAUGGCUAUCCCCACUUUCUCGGCCAUCAUCAAUGGUUAAUCUUAUGGACGCUUUAAGAGUAGUAGAGGUAUUAGACAGGGAUGUCCUUUGUCCCCUUAUUUGUUUGUUUUGGCCAUCAAUGAGUUGUUAAUCUCUCUACAUGAAGCCAUGUGUGCUGACCGGUUAUCAGGAAUAACUUUAGGACCAGGAUGUCCUCCUAUUCGCUUCUUAAUGUUCGCUGACGAUUUACUGAUUUGUGGACAGGCUACAGCUGCAGAAGCUAUGCAUAUGCAUCUAAUCCUUCAAAGGUUUUGCAACCUUUCAGGUCAUAUGCCAAACUGGAGUAAGUCGGCUAUUAUUUUUAGCAGAAAUGUCAAUGAGAUCAAUAAGGAGGAUAUUAAGAGAAUCUUCCCGAUGUAG
rnacentral:rRNA from 1 species